ACCUCUCUGGUGUAUCGGUUAACAUAGCGGAUUCUCAUUGCAAGCAUUCCGUUGCGCGGGGUUCGACUCCCCGGAGGGGUA